GCGAACGCUGGCGGCAGGCCUAAUACAUGCAAGUCGAGCGGUCCCUUCGGGGGCAGCGGCGGACGGGUGAGUAACGCGUGGGAACGUGCCCUUUGGUACGGAACAACUGAGGGAAACUUCAGCUAAUACCGUAUGUGCCCUUCGGGGGAAAGAUUUAUCGCCAUUGGAGCGGCCCGCGUUAGAUUAGCUAGUUGGUAGGGUAAAGGCCUACCAAGGCGACGAUCUAUAGCUGGUCUGAGAGGAUGAUCAGCCACACUGGGACUGAGACACGGCCCAGACUCCUACGGGAGGCAGCAGUAGGGAAUCUUGCGCAAUGGUCGAAAGCCUGACGCAGCCAUGCCGCGUGAAUGAUGAAGGUCUUAGGAUUGUAAAAUUCUUUCACCGGGGACGAUAAUGACGGUACCCGGAGAAGAAGCCCCGGCUAACUUCGUGCCAGCAGCCGCCGUAACAC
rnacentral:rRNA from 1 species